rnacentral:rRNA from 1 species
AAUUGCGAUGGGGGGACGGAGAAGGCUAGGUGGGCCUGGCGACGGUUGUCCAGGUUCAAGUGCGUAGGCUGAGUGUUUAGGUAAAUCCGGAUACUCUUAAGGCUGAGACACGACGUCGAGCUACUACGGUAGUGAAGUCAUUGAUGCCAUGCUUCCAGGAAAAGCCUCUAAGCUUCAGAUUGUAAGGAAUCGUACCCCAAACCGACACAGGUGGUCGGGUAGAGAAUACCAAGGCGCUUGAGAGAACUCGGGUGAAGGAACUAGGCAAAAUGGUACCGUAACUUCGGGAGAAGGUACGCUCUUGAUGGUGAAGUCCCUUGCGGAUGGAGCUGACGAGAGUCGCAGAUACCAGGUGGCUGCAACUGUUUAUUAAAAACACAGCACUGUGCAAAAUCGUAAGAUGACGUAUACGGUGUGACGCCUGCCCGGUGCCGGAAGGUUAAUUGAUGGGGUUAGCGUAAGCGAAGCUCUUGAUCGAAGCCCCGGUAAACGGCGGCCGUAACUAUAACGGUCCUAAGGUAGCGAAAUUCCUUGUCGGGUAAGUUCCGACCUGCACGAAUGGCGUAAUGAUGGCCACGCUGUCUCCACCCGAGACUCAGUGAAAUUGAAAUCGCUGUGAAGAUGCAGUGUACCCGCGGCUAGACGGAAAGACCCCGUGAACCUUUACUACAGCUUGGCACUGAACAUUGAACCUACAUGUGUAGGAUAGGUGGGAGGCUUUGAAGACGUGACGCCAGUUGCGUUGGAGCCGUCCUUGAAAUACCACCCUUGUAUGUUUGAUGUUCUAACGUUGGCCCCUAAUCGGGGUUGCGGACAGUGCCUGGUGGGUAGUUUGACUGGGGCGGUCUCCUCCCAAAGAGUAACGGAGGAGCACGAAGGUGGGCUAAUCACGGUUGGACAUCGUGAGGUUAGUGCAAUGGCAUAAGCCCGCUUAACUGCGAGAAUGACGGUUCGAGCAGGUGCGAAAGCAGGUCAUAGUGAUCCGGUGGUUCUGAAUGGAAGGGCCAUCGCUCAACGGAUAAAAGGUACUCCGGGGAUAACAGGCUGAUACCGCCCAAGAGUUCAUAUCGACGGCGGUGUUUGGCACCUCGAUGUCGGCUCAUCACAUCCUGGGGCUGAAGUCGGUCCCAAGGGUAUGGCUGUUCGCCAUUUAAAGUGGUACGCGAGCUGGGUUUAGAACGUCGUGAGACAGUUCGGUCCCUAUCUGCCGUGGGCGUUGGAAGAUUGAAGGGGGCUGCUCCUAGUACGAGAGGACCGGAGUGGACGAACCUCUGGUGUUCGGGUUGUGUCGCCAGACGCAUUGCCCGGUAGCUAAGUUCGGAAUCGAUAACCGCUGAAAGCAUCUAAGCGGGAAGCGAGCCCUGAGAUGAGUCUUCCCUGAUACUUUAAGUAUCCUGAAGGGUUGUUCGAGACUAGAACGUUGAUAGGCAGGGUGUGUAAGCGCUGUGAGGCGUUGAGCUAACCUGUACUAAUUGCCCGUGAGGCUUAACCAUACAACAC